rnacentral:lncRNA from 1 species
CUCCUUCCGGGUGCAGGCGGGCCUGGGCAGUCUGAGUCCUACCUCAGCCCCCACCUCACCUCCCUGCAUCCUCCUAGCAUCUCUGCAGGGCUAGCCCAGAGGUUGGCGGCGGAAGGCCCACAGCUCCCCUGGCUCCAUGGGCAAUGACCGAACAGCCCUUCACCUCUCUGGGCCUUGUUUUCUCAAACUGAAACUGGAGAGGAUGACCCCAGCCUGGGACCUUCGAGGGCCUCAAAAGGGCUCUGGGCCUUGCGUGGCUGGACGAUGAAUGUGAUGGCUGGAACUCAAGCAGCCACAGUGGAUCAUAAGGGACGGUGUCUUGCUAUGUUGUCCAAGCUGGUCUCAAACUGGCCUGAAUCAAUGCUUCCACCUCAGCUGCCAGAGGAACCGGGAUUACAGGCCUGAGCCACUGCAGCCAGCCAGUUUGUUAUUUUAAUGUAAAUUCUUAGUAAACAACUCAGGAGCUCUCUUGUCCUUUUAAAAUCCAUUUCAACUUCUGCUAAUCGGAGUGUAUAUUCAGGGCAACUUGAAUCUGUGCUCCUGGGAUGCAAUCCUCAAGCUUGGCCCAAAUAAAGUCUCCGCUGAUAUUAA